GAAUCCGCUAAGGAGUGUGUAACAACUCACCUGCCGAAUGAAUUAGCCCUGAAAAUGGAUGGCGCUUAAGCGGACAGCCGACACCACGUCGUCUGAUCAAAGUGGUUUUAUUCAGAUGAGUAGGAGGGCGUGGCGGUCGUAUGGAAGCGUCGGUGCGAACCGGCGUGAAACGGCCGCUAGUGCAGAUCUUGGUGGUAGUAGCAAAUAUUCAAGUGAGAUCCUUGAAGGACGAAGCGGGGAAGGGUUCCACGCGAACAUUGAUUGAGCGUGGGUGAGUCGUUCCUAAGCCGAGUGGUCAUAGCUAAUUACCGGCGAAAGGGAAGCAGGUUGACAUUCCUGCACACGGAUGUGGAGGCGGUGACGCCGUAUUGAGGUGAUGACGUUGGCAGUGGCUCUGGGCAGAGUUUUCUUUUCUGUUUGACCGUCAAUGUGCGCUGUGUGGAAUCCGCUUGUCGGGAGAAACACGCGUGCACGGGCAGAGCGCCGGGGCUUUUCCGGCGUCCAGAUCGCCACUGACGACCCUUGAAAAAUCACCCGCUGAAUUAUACAAUCCACGCCGUGGCGUACCGAUUACCGCAUCAGGUCCCCAAGGUGAACAGCCUCUGUCCAAUAUGAAAAAUGCAGGUAAGGGAAGUCGGCA
rnacentral:rRNA from 1 species